UUGCAAGAGCGAUAGAAGCGGCAUCCUUUUUAUGCCUUACCUUACUUAAUACCAUUACGAUAAAACUCCAGCAUAAAAAGAUAUAGCGGAUAGCGCGCUUUUUA
rnacentral:sRNA from 1 species